UCCACCAGCACUGAAUAUAAAUUCUGAAGCGACAAUAGACAUUGACACGGCCAGGAUGUCUUAUGCCAUAGUAGCAAGCAUCAGAAAGAUAUUUUGCUGCGAUUUUCAUCAUCGCAGCACAUCAAAAUUAUCCAACUGAUUGAGAUUAAGGAUAGCAGUGAUGCCAUUGGUGAGGCAGAAGUUUAAUUCCGAUGACAAGGA
rnacentral:lncRNA from 1 species